UACAGAGGGGGCAAGCGUUGUUCGGAAUUACUGGGCGUAAAGUGUGCGCAGGUGGCCGCGCAAGUCGAGUGUGAAAUCCCCGAGCUUAACUUGGGAAUUGCGCUCGAAACUACGUGGCUCGAGUGUGGCAGAGGAAGGUGGAAUUCCUAGUGUAGCGGUGAAAUGCGUAGAUAUCGGGAGGAACACCAGUGGCGAAGGCAGCCCCCUGGGUCAAGAUUGACGCUCAUGCACGAAAGCGUGGG
rnacentral:rRNA from 1 species